GCGGAAGUCGACGACACCGAAGCCGGAGGCGCAUUCUUCAAUGGAGCAUUCGAAUUGCUCUUACCCGAUCCCAAGGCAGAACCUACCAAAUCGCUGAACAGAUUCGGAUUCUUUUCAACAAUUCCGAUGCCCGCAGUGGAAACGGAAUUCGCCGUGGAACCCCAGGUCUUCCCAAAUAUAUCACCAACCAUGGAAGCGGAGGAAUUGGACAAGUUAGGGCGCGCCACCUGAUUCGGCGCAGGCUGAUGCGUCCAUGAGGGCUUGUUAGGCUGCCAGGCCGGCCUCGUCUGUG
rnacentral:misc_RNA from 1 species